AAAGGUUUGGUCCCAGCCUUGAAAUCAACUUUUACCCAACAUACACAUGCAAGCCUCCACACCCCCGUGAAAACGCCCUUAAAAUUCCACACAGAAACAAGGAGCCGGUAUCAGGCACAAUAAUUAGCCCAAAACACCUAGCUUCGCCACACCCACACGGGAACUCAGCAGUGAUCAACAUUGAAUAUGAGCGCCAGCUCGAUUCAGUUAGAGUAAGAAGAGCCGGCAAACCUGGUGCCAGCCGCCGCGGUUACACCACUGGACUCAAAUUGAUAUCUUUCGGCGUAAAACGUGAUUAAAGAGACCCGCCCCCCCCCCUGSUAGAACCAAACUUAAGCUAAGCUGUAGCACGCUUGCAUUAAAGAAGCCCUCAACGAAAGUCAUUCUACUCACUAAACUUGAACUCACGACAGCUGGGGUACAAACUGGGAUUAGAUACCCCACUAUGCCCAGCCAUAAACUUUAACUUACUUCCCCCCCCGCCAGGAGACUACUAGCAAAGCUUAAAACCCAAAGGACUUGACGGUACCCCACAUCCACCUAGAGGAGCCUGUCAUGUAAUCGAUAACCCUCGCUCAACCUCACCAUUUUUAGCCCCUCAAUCUGUAUACCUCCGUCGUCAGCCUACCACGUGAGCGCCACUUAGUGGGCCAAACGCUUAUUCACCAAAACGUCAGGUCAAGGUGCAGUUAAUAAACUGGAAAAUGAUGGGCUACACUCUCUAAUUUAGAACAUACGAAAAACACCAUGAAACACAGUUUGAAGGCGGAUUUAGUAGUAAGAAAAGACCAGAGUGCCUUUCUGAAUGGAGCACUGGGGCGCGCACACACCGCCCGUCACCCCCCUCAAAAUUACAACUAGUAAAUAACCCGCACCUAAAAUAAAGAGGGGGCAAGUCGUAACAAGGUAAGCGUACCGGAAGGUGCGCUUGGAA
rnacentral:ncRNA from 1 species